rnacentral:rRNA from 1 species
AUGAAGGCCACCACGUUCAGCUGCGCAGCAGCCAGCUCGUCACGUACCUGUACGCCGACGACAACGGGCUUGGCGUCUCCCUCCACCACCGCCGGCGUCGGUGAACGCGGCGUGGGAGGUGCGCUUGCACCAUGGCGAACACGAGGUCUAUCUGUUUCUCUGCAGCGCCGCCUACGGGCUCUACCUCGCCGCCACGGCGCCGCGCGGCCGCCGUGCGCGCCGCGUCGUGCAGCACAACUACAACCAUCCGGAGUUGGAGGCAAAGGUUUGGUCUGCCACCCUGUCAGAAUCCGGGAACGAAGUCCUCCUCAACAACUUCGAGGGCGGCUGCCUCCGCGCCAACGCGACGGCGCCGUACCUCGACCGGAACAACAGCGUCAGCGUCCUCGACAUCGGAAACGUCGCCACGAUGAUGCACUGGGUCGUGGAGCCCAUCCCCGCCAGGGAGGGCAUGCCUCCCCUUCCACCUCCGACUGA